AAGGGCACAAAGGGUUUGAGGUACUUACUUUCUUUAGGGCCCUAUGGAAAUCCAAUCCAAUACUGAUAGCCAAUGCCACUGGGUGUGUUGCCUAAGGGGUGGAUAGUGGCUGCAGCAUUGUGCCCCUAGAUUCCUGGUCCACGGGUGUCAGAUCCAUGGGGGCAGAUACCAUUCUCUUGGCUAGGGUUUUUGUUGCAGUGGGAAACACUGUGUGAAUGAUG